UUACUAUUUCAACUAGGCCUGUUUGAAUACCAUGAGCAUUGAAACAAUGUAAAAACCAUGUCUGUUGGGACUGUAUUAUUGGUGGGGGUUAAGUAAUUGAUAAUUGAAGACUUUGGGUAGGCCAGGGCAAUAAACUACUUUAGGGUCCCAUAGACAAAAUCAAAAGCCAUAUUUUGUGUAAAGUGCUGAGAUUAGCCAAAAGGUUGUGCAAAAGUUUGCAAUCGCACAGGGGUAGAUUAACACUUUAACAGACUAACAUAUGACAUUGUACGAAUAACAUGCAAAAUAAAAUGUUGUCCAGUUAAACAAUAUAGGGGUCCUAGUGUUCUAAUCCGCUCCUUGUUUACACAACAUGCUGUUGCCCAGUGGUCACCAUGUGGAGGUUCUUUCUUGACCACCAAAAAUGUUUAAUGUUUAUCAAAAUCUUAAGUCUGUAAUAAUUUUCAAAUGCAAAAAGUUUGUAUCUUUGAUAGAG
rnacentral:lncRNA from 1 species